rnacentral:rRNA from 1 species
CAGCCGCCGCGGUAAUACCGGCGGCCCGAGUGGCGGUCACUAUUAUUGGGCUUAAAGCGUCCGUAGCCGGGGUGGGAAGUCCUCCGGGAAAUCUGGCCGCUUAACGGUCAGAAUGCCGGAGGAUACUCCCAGCCUAGGGAGCGGGAGAGGCCGAGGGGAUUCCCGGAGUAGGGGGGAAAUCCUAUAAUCCCGGGAGGACCACCUGUGGCGGAGGCGCUCGGCUGGAACGCGUCCGACGGUGAGGGACGAAGGCCAGGGGAGCAAACCGGAUUAGAUACCCGGGUAGUCCUGGCUGUAAACGAUGCGGACUUUGUGUCGGACAAGCUAUGAGCUUGUCCGGUGCCGGAGGGAAACCGUUAAGUCCGCCGCCUGGGGAGUACGGCCGCAAGGCUGAAACUUAAAGGAAUUGGCGGG